CAUUACUGAGUUUACGCUCUACAACCCUUUGUGAACAUACCUAUAACUGUUGCUUCGGCGGGUAGGGUCUCCGCGACCCUCCCGGCCUCCCGCCUCCGGGCGGGUCGGCGCCCGCCGGAGGAUAACCAAACUCUGAUUUAACGACGUUUCUUCUGAGUGGUACAAGCAAAUAAUCAAAACUUUUAACAACGGAUCUCUUGGUUCUGGCAUCGAUGAAGAACGCAGCGAAAUGCGAUAAGUAAUGUGAAUUGCAGAAUUCAGUGAAUCAUCGAAUCUUUGAACGCACAUUGCGCCCGCCAGCAUUCUGGCGGGCAUGCCUGUUCGAGCGUCAUUUCAACCCUCAAGCUCUGCUUGGUGUUGGGGCCCUACAGCCGAUGUAGGCCCUCAAAGGUAGUGGCGGACCCUCCCGGAGCCUCCUUUGCGUAGUAACUUUACGUCUCGCACUGGGAUCCGGAGGGACUCUUGCCGUAAAACCCCCCAAUUUUCCAAAGGUUGACCUCGGAUCAGGUAGGAAUACCCGCUGAACUUAAGCAUAUCAAUA
rnacentral:rRNA from 1 species